UCUGCUGUGAGGAAUGCCCCCUGGCCCGAAGCCAUGUGCCUUUUCAUGUCCACGUGGGGUAAACAUUAAAGCUUCGGACCAGGCUUCAUUCCCCUCAGCACA
rnacentral:pre_miRNA from 1 species